rnacentral:lncRNA from 1 species
CAGUGCCUUAAUCUGAUCCCCGAGGAACAACGCAGAGGCUUCACUCUGGAUGACAAACGAGGAGGGGAGAGGCCUACCCUGCCUGGACUCCGGGCCCCAGCCAUGACCGUGUCAGCUAGACGACACCUGGAGCAAGUCCCCACAACCUGUUUUACUCCUGAGCGGGCUUUGUGCCUAGACCUGGGAAUCCUGACUCACUUUGGUAAAGCUAUCGACCUCUCCAAGCCUCAGUUUCCUCAUCUUCAGUUUGGGCAGAUCUUUAGGCUCAGUGGAGCCAAAACGUGUAAGCACUUGAUAAAGCCCGGAGUGGCCUGGUUCAGAUGCUCUGCUCAGAGGACCAGCACAAGCUGGUAUGCGUGUGUGUGUGUGUGUGUGUGUGUGUGAGUGUGUGUGUGUGCAUGCGCACACACACUAGUUGGGAAGCAGGGAAGGCCUGGGAGCUUCCCAGAGGACAGAGGCUUAGGCAUGAUGAUGGGGUGAGGGGGAGCCCCAAACCCCAGGCCCAGGGCCCCAUGUCCCAGGGAGUAGGGGGUCCGGAGCCCAGCUAUCUCCGCUUUCUGCACCCACCUCCUUCCAGCACCACCUUCUCCUGCAGCGCUGCCCUCUGGUCCCACUCAGCCUCAUCUGUGCCGGCUGGUCCUACACUUUGCUCACUCGGGAUUUUACACAUGGGGCCUGCGUCUCUCACGGAGGGCCACCAGGAGGCGCCACACGCCUGCUCGGCCUCCCCGUGGGCCCCCCAAUCCUCCCGGCCGGUCGGUCUGGAGGCGGGGCGUCCUCGGGGUCGGGAGUGCACGGUCUGCGGUUCAGCCCCGGCUCUAGCACGUGGCCCGCGGAGCCGCGCACCCUUUCUCUCUCUUGAACCCCCAUCGGGUGGCGGGCGUCUCAUCCAACCCUCUCUGCGCGAUCCUGCUCCCUCUGCGCCCGCGGGCAUCCGAGAUCCAGGCUUCUG